GACGAACGCUGGCGGCGUGCCUAACACAUGCAAGUCGAGCGGGAACCUCAGGAGGGGUAACCCUUCUGAGGGGAGAGCGGCGAACGGGUGAGUAACACGUGGGCAACCUGCCCCGGACACCGGGAUAACCCAGGGAAACCUGAGCUAAUACCGGAUACUCCGGCGCGAUCGCAUGGUCGUGCCGGGAAAGCUCCGACGGUCCGGGAUGGGCCCGCGGCCUAUCAGCUUGUUGGUGGGGUAACGCCCACCAAGGCGACGACGGGUAGCUGGUCUGAGAGGACGGCCAGCCACACUGGGACUGAGACACGGCCCAGACUCCUACGGGAGGCAGCAGUGGGGGAUCUUGCGCUAAUGCGCGAAAGCGUGACGCAGCGACGCCGCGUGGGGAUGAAGGCCUUC
rnacentral:rRNA from 1 species